rnacentral:rRNA from 1 species
AAGGUUAUAUGAUCAAGUAAAGGAAGAGCACA